GUACCAGGACAUCGCCCCAAUUAUCUAUGCAACGGCUCCUCAAUGCUGGCCUUACAACAGAGGCGGCAGCUGUCUCCGCUUAUUACACCUCCCCGCCCCCUGCCAUGGCCGGCACUGACUCUGCCUCUGACGCUGAGGAUACGCACUGCACACGCCCUGCCAGAUGCCAAAGGAAGCCAUUCUUCUGGAAGAAGACUUUCUCCUGAAAGCCUCCUGGAGGCAAAGUUCUGGCAGAACGAGGCAAUUUCCCUCCCUGCAGGCGGAAGGAAGGCAAUUAGAGCGGGAGCUAGGGCUGAGAGAGGGGAAAUGAUGCAGACACUGCCACCCAGCAAGUGAGAGGAAGGACUGAACAUGGACAGAAGGGCUUGAGACAUUGAGCCUUGGCUGCUUUCACCCAUCCCUUCAAUUGCUGCCCUCUUUUCUAAUGGCCUGAGUCUCCAAAUGGAGCCAAGCUGGGGGCACCCUGGCCAGGAGAUGUGGCCUGCUGUGCCCCUGAGAAGAGCUGUCCCAGGCACACAGAGACAACAUUUGGAAGUGGAAAAUGCCUCUGGAGCAGUCAGAGUGUUGGGAAGUCUCAUCCCAUUCUCCGUUUCAGGAACCUUCCCUCAGCAACAGCAGAGCAGAAGGGAACUCAGUUCAGCAUAACUCGGCAAGUAUUCCCGAGCAGCAUGCUUGGGCUGGGCAGGGGAGACUGUCACAGCCAGAGUGGGCAGUGCUGUGACAGGAGGCUCCCUGUGCAGUUCCACUUUGUCUCUGUGACUUCGCACAGGUUGUUCCCUUGCCUGGAAUGUCCUCCCCCAACCUUUUCUUCCUGGAAAACUUCUAUUCAGCAAAACUCAGGUUAAAUUUCACCUCCUCCAAGAAGGCUUUUUCAACUCUCUAUGCUGUGCUCUCAGAGCCCCCUCCUCAACACACACACACACACACACACACACACACACACACACACACACACACACACACACACACACAGCUUUCCUCUACCAGGACACUAUCUGCUUCUUGACUAGACUGCAAACUCUUUGAAGUGAGUGAUCAUUUAACCAGCAUGAUGUUUGUCACAUAGUAGAUACUUCGUCAAUGUUUAGGAGCCAAGGAGAGAAACCACAGUGAACAGCCACACUGUACUUUCCUCACUGUGAUCAGCACAGUCUUGAACUGUGGCGUAAGGGCUUCCCUGUGAUCCAAGGAGGUGCUUCCUGCUGGUGAAGGAGGAGUUGGGCCCGGGGCUGCAGCCACCUGGGCGAGAAACCACUGGGAACCUGCUCUGUGCCAGGCCCUGCCUGGGCUUUGGGGGUGGGAGUAAGACACAGUCCCUGUCCUGAGGACCUGCAGUCUGGUGGAGUGGACAGGAGCUGGGUUGACAUAGGAUCUGCCAGGCAGAGGGUGCUGAUUGUCAUAGACAGCUUGGAUGUCAGGGGAGCCUGAGGUGGAGAGUGGUGGUGGCUAUUGAGACCAUUCUCCAGAGAGGACGGGGUGCAGGUAGAGUUUCAACAGGUUGAUGGAAGGGGAUUCCAAGUGGAGGGGGGACCAAGGACAAUGACAGAGAGACGGGAGCCUGCAGAGCAGUUGAGUAUCAGUGAAGUAUGGGAGCUCAGCUAUGGCAUCUUGGAGCUAGAGGGAGAGAAAGAUGAGGGGUGAGCCUGGAGCCUACAGCUGCCAGUGCUGGAGGGCCCCUUGCAUCAAAGCCCUUUCCUGUGGAGGAUAACGGGGGCCUUGAGACCAGGAUGCCUGCCAGGAGACUGGGCCAGAUUGGAGGGCUUUGAGUGUACUGAUACAGAUUGCUUAAGCCUGACCCAGUGGGCAGCAGACAUCUUCACACAGGGGGUACAGGCUGGACCAGCAUGAAGGCAGGAUCUGUGGGGCAUCUGCACUACCACGUGAAGUUUAGCAGGCCUCUGCACCCUGCCUGUCUCUGCACCUCUCCUGCCAUUAUGCCUUGAUUCAGGCCUUGCUCCUUUGAGUAAAGACACUGCCUCCUCUUAGGAUGCCCACACUCCCAGAAAGGGUAGCACGUUAGGCCUCAGAUACCCCAGCAUGGGCCAGUGGAAAUGGACUGGAGAGACUCAAGCCAGCACGAGGGUACUUGGAGCCUGGGGAAUGGGGGGUGGGGCCAGGCAGGAGGACACCAAUGCCAGCAUCACCCUAAGGGAAGCCUGGGGUGAUCUCACAGCCUUGCCUGAGAUGUGGGACAGUCUGACAGGCAGCUGGGCCAGCGGCUCCUCCCUCAGCCUACAGAUGGAUAGGAA
rnacentral:lncRNA from 1 species